UAUGACUCCUUGAGACGUCUCAGGAACUGU
rnacentral:piRNA from 1 species